rnacentral:rRNA from 1 species
AUGAACGCUAGCGGCAGGCCUAACACAUGCAAGUCGAGGGGCAGCACAGAAAUAGCUUGCUAUUUGGGUGGCGACCGGCGCACGGGUGCGUAACGCGUAUGCAACCUACCUUAUACUGGGGUAUAGCCCGGAGAAAUUCGGAUUAAUCCCCCAUGGUAUUAUAGAUUGGCAUCGGUUUAUAAUUAAAGUAACAACGGUAUAAGAUGGGCAUGCGUCCUAUUAGCUAGAUGGUGAGGUAACGGCUCACCAAGGCUACGAUAGCUAGGGGGCGUGAGAGCGUGGCCCCCCACACGGGUACUGAGACACGGACCCGACUCCUACGGGAGGCAGCAGUAAGGAAUAUUGGACAAUGGUCGAAAGACUGAUCCAGCCAUCCCGCGUGCAGGAUGACUGCCCUACGGGUUGUAAACUGCUUUUAUAUGGGAAGAAUAGCAUAGAUUCAUCUGUGUAUGACGGUACCAUAUGAAUAAGCACCGGCUAACUCCGUG